CAAAGCUAAAACCUAGACAUGAAUGGUAGCCCACACCGAUAAUACACAAAAUCCAAUAAUCUUCUUCUCUGAUGCGAUCAAAUGGAUUUGACUAUCAAGACAGUCUUCAUAUACAAUACGCUCCCUUCCAAAAGGGGAGUGUGGGGGUAGGGAACGACUGACCAAA